rnacentral:rRNA from 1 species
AGCGUAGGUUCCGAGCGUUAUCCGGAUUUACUGGGCGUAAAGCGCGUUCAGGCGGUUUGGCAAGUCGGGCAUGAAAUCUCUCGGCUCAACCGGGAGAGGUUGUCCGAUACUUCCAGACUUGAGGGCAGUAGAGGGUGGUGGAAUUCCGGGUGUAGUGGUGAAAUGCGUAGAUAUCCGGAGGAACACCAGUGGCGAAGGCGGGUCUCUGGGCCGAUACUGACGCUGAGGAGCGAAAGCGUGGGGAGCGAACAGG